CAACUGGAGAGUUUGAUCCUGGCUCAGAACGAACGUUAGCGGCGCGCCUAACACAUGCAAGUCGCACGAGAAAGGGCUUCGGCCCCGGUAAAGUGGCGCACGGGUGAGUAACACGUGGGUAACCUGCCCUCGAGCGGGGGAUAACAUUCCGAAAGGAGUGCUAAUACCGCAUAAGACCACGACCUCGCAAGAGGAUGCGGUCAAAGCUGGCCUCUAUACAUAAGCUAGCACUUGAGGAUGGGCCCGCGGCGCAUCAGGUAGUUGGUGGGGUAAUGGCUCACCAAGCCGAAGACGC
rnacentral:rRNA from 1 species